UACGUAGGAGGCAAGCGUUGUCCGGAAUUACUGGGUGUAAAGCGCGUGUAGGUGGCAGGCCAAGUCUGUUGUGAAAUCGCCCGGCUCAACUGGGCGCGGUCAAUGGAAACUGGUCAGCUGGAGGACGGUAGAGGCGAGUGGAAUUCCCGGUGUAGUGGUGAAAUGCGUAGAUAUCGGGAGGAACACCAGUGGCGAAGGCGGCUAUCUGGGCUGAAACUGACGCUGAGGCGCGAAGGCUAGGGGAGCAAACAGG
rnacentral:rRNA from 1 species